UGGGUAGCGAACAGGAUUAGAUACCCUGGUAGUCCACGCCGUAAACGAUGAGAACUAGCCGUUGGGGGCCUUGAGCCCUUGGUGGCGCAGCUAACGCGAUAAGUUCUCCGCCUGGGGAGUACGGCCGCAAGGUUAAAACUCAAAUGAAUUGACGGGGGCCCGCACAAGCGGUGGAGCAUGUGGUUUAAUUCGAUGAUACGCGAGGAACCUUACCAGGGCUUAAAUGUAGUGUGACAGGGGCAGAGAUGCCUUUUUCUUCGGACACAUUACAAGGUGCUGCAUGGUUGUCGUCAGCUCGUGCCGUGAGGUGUCAGGUUAAGUCCUAUAACGAGCGCAACCCCUGUUGUUAGUUACCAGCACAUUAUGGUGGGGACUCUAACAAGACUGCCGGUGCAAACCGUGAGGAAGGUGGGGAUGACGUCAAAUCAUCACGGCCCUUACGUCCUGGGCUACACACGUGCUACAAUG
rnacentral:rRNA from 1 species